GAUGAACGCUGGCGGCGUGCCUAAUACAUGCAAGUCGAGCGAACAGACGAGGAGCUUGCUCCUCUGACGUUAGCGGCGGACGGGUGAGUAACACGUGGAUAACCUACCUUUAAGACUGGGAUAACUUCGGGAAACCGGAGCUAAUACCGGAUAAUAUAUUGUAACUCAUUGUUCAAUAGUGAAAGACGGUUUUGCUGUCACUUAUAUCUGGAUCCGCGCCGCAUUGGCUAGUUGGUAAGGUAACGGCUUACCAAGGCAACGAGGCGUAGCCGACCUGAGCGGGGGAUCGGCCACACGGGAACGAAAACACGGUCCAGACUCCUACGGGAGGAAGCAGAAGGGAAUCUUCCGCAAUGGGCGAAAGCCUGACGGGGCAACGCCGCGUGGGGAAUGAAGUUCUUCGGAUCGUAAAACUCUGUUAUUGGGGAAGAACAAAAGGGUAAGUAACUAUGCACGUCUUGACGGUACCUAAUCAGAAAGCCACGGCUAACUACGUG
rnacentral:rRNA from 1 species